CUCCAGCUCUAAUAGCGUAUAUUAAAGUUGUUGCGGUUAAAAAGCUCGUAGUUGAAUCUGUGUUCUGCGCUGUCGGUUCACCGCCCGCGGUGUUAACUGGCACGUCUCGCAGAACGUCCUGCCGGUGGAUGUGUGUCCUUUGUCUACUUGCCCAUUAUGCGUGUGCAACUUCGGUUGUUACUGUAUAGUGCGUGUAAGGGUCAAAUGUGUCACCAUCCGACUCAAUAAUCCUGUCGCGGUGCUCUUAACUGAGUGUCGAGGCGGGCCGGCACGUUUACUUUGAACAAAUUAGAGUGCUCAAAGCAGGCUAAAAUUUUGCCUGAAUACUGUGUGCAUGGAAUAAUGGAACAGGACCUCGGUUCUAUUUUGUUGGUUUUCGGAACCCCGAGGUAAUGAUUAAUAGGGACAGAUGG
rnacentral:rRNA from 1 species